GCAAAGUGGAACAGAGGAAAGGAGGGAGCCAGGAAGGGAGAUGGAAGGAGAGGGGAGUAAGGCCAAGUGCGCACCACCGGCAAUCCGAAUGGGAUUUAAGGUGGUUUAAAAUGUACAGACUGAAGCCGUGGCUAUAUAAUACGCCACAUGGUUAGUCGAAUAUCCUUUAAUUAAAUCUAAGGGCUAAAAAUGUUUGUGCAUAUUUAGUCUAUACUAGUCUACAGCAUUAUGUGUGUUUUUCUGAGCCAACUCCACCAGGACCUCGAUGACCCAAUGGGUCUGGAGGGAGAGGAGGCCAGGUGGAGAAGACCAACACCAGGGAACAGUUCUGGGUUUGGUUCAGAGAGGAGGUAAAACAUUUGUUUUCAAAUGCUGUGAUGAAACCAAUGUUACAUCACGUGUGUUGGAUAAAUUAAAACUAAUAGCUAUGAAUCACUUAUUUUCUAUGUUGUGCUGUAAUUUAGUUAUGGAUCCAUGUCUUGUUGGCCUCCAGGACAGCCUAAACUGGAGGGUCCAACACCUGGAGAUUCUGGGGGCCUCAGUCUGCAUUCUCUAGUGAGAGGAUAAACACCUUUAACCUGACCCUCCUCUCUAGGCAGUUCUUGCAAGCGUCAGAGGCUGCUGUGCUAUAAGAGUGGCCCUCUUACAAGCAACGUGCUAGUUGGAAAAUUGAAGGGAUUGGACCAGCUGACAGCAAUGACAAAGCUGGCCUCGCAGUUUGGUCAAAACAGACUUGAGGAACAGACUGCAGGGAGAGCAUCUAUCCACCUGCAUGCAGCUCUCCAUCAAUGGCCCUCCCAUCAAGGAGCUCAAUUACAGGAGGGCGUUGGAAAUCUUUUUCCAAAAGCCCAGAAGAAUAAAGUGCUCUGACAAGGGCUGUAAACUAUGUUAGAACUAGGUUUGGACUCUAAUUCAUGUUCAGUCUCAUGUUCCUCUGUUCUGUCCAGAUAAACUUUUUUUUUCUUUU